rnacentral:rRNA from 3 species
GCCCGGUAACGGGUGAAGCUGACUGGUACUAAUAGGCCGAGGGCUUGUCCUCAGUUG